AUUGAACGCUGGCGGCAGGCUUAACACAUGCAAGUCGAGCGGAGUGAUGGUGCUUGCACUAUCACUUAGCGGCGGACGGGUGAGUAAUGCUUAGGAAUCUGCCUAUUAGUGGGGGACAACGUCUCGAAAGGGAUGCUAAUACCGCAUACGUCCUACGGGAAAAGGCAGGGGAUCACUUGUGACCUUGCGCUAAUAAAUGAGCCUAAGUGGGAUUAGCUAGUUGGUGGGGUAAAGGCCUACCAAGGCGACGAUCUGUAGCGGGUCGGAGAGGAUGAUCCGCCACACUGGGACUGAGACACGGCCCAGACUCCUACGGGAGGCAGCAGUGGGGAAUAUUGGACAAUGGGGGGAACCCUGAUCCAGCCAUGCCGCGUGUGUGAAGAAGGCCUUAUGGUUGUAAAGCACUUUAAGCGAGGAGGAGGCUCUUUUGGUUAAUACCCAAGAUGAGUGGACGUUACUCGCAGAAUAAGCACCGGCUAACUCUGUGCCAGCCGCCGCCGUAA
rnacentral:rRNA from 1 species